GUUAAUUUUGGUAGGUGAUUUAAGACGGCACAAUGGAUCAUUCUCAAUGCAAGAAAGGUCAAAAACCAUUCAAUAGACAAGAAAAUAUUUUUCCCACGGAAUAUAUAUACAUAAGUAAUUAUACAUGUGUUCUUGUACUUGUCGACCGCCGAGUUUACAAUGACAGUUUUGCUUAUCUUCACUCAGUGUGGGUGUACUUCCUGAUAAGGUAAGAGAAAUUGUCAGUCCGCAUGAGUAAGGACAAAAGAGCAUUAAGCUUAGUACAAAAGGAGGCAGUAAUCCGGAUACCUGAAUUCUGCUUUAUCGAGACCGUUCAGUUGCGAUAAAACACUUGUCGGGAGAUGAUUCGCCGAGAUCAUUAAUUAUCGUGUAUAUAGCGAGUGUUUUGCGUUAACUUGCCUGGUAAAAAAGACAAGUCGAAGCUCAACAACUUGGAGGGGUUGUUUGAGAAAAAGAUAACCGUUGUGGACGAAUACACGGUUAAGUAUAGACUCUUCUCGAAAGGCAUUUAUACAUAUAAAAAGAGAAGAAAGAUUGCCAGAGGGAAGUUUUGAUGUCGUCACGGUAAACUUAAAUUACUUUUAAAGAUUAA